GACGAACGCUGGCGGCGUGCUUAACACAUGCAAGUCGAACGAAGAGCGAUGGAAGCUUGCUUCUAUCAAUCUUAGUGGCGCACGGGUGAGUAACGCGUAAUCAACCUGCCCUUCAGAGGGGGACAACAGUUGGAAACGACUGCUAAUACCGCAUACGAUCUAAUCUCGGCAUCGAGGAUAGAUGAAAGGUGGCCUCUACAUGUAAGCUAUCACUGAAGGAGGGGAUUGCGUCUGAUUAGCUAGUUGGAGGGGUAACGGCCCACCAAGGCGAUGAUCAGUAGCCGGUCUGAGAGGAUGAACGGCCACAUUGGGACUGAGACACGGCCCAGACGCCUACGGGAGGCAGCAGUGGGGAAUCUUCCGCAAUGGACGAAAGUCUGACGGAGCAACGCCGCGUGAGUGAUGACGGCCUUCGGGUUGUAAAGCUCUGUUAAUCGGGACGAAAGGCCUUCUUGCGAAUAGUGAGAAGGAUUGACGGUACCGGAAUAGAAAGCCACGGCUAACUACGUG
rnacentral:rRNA from 1 species